AUUGAACGCUGGCGGCAGUCCUAACACAUGCAAGUCGAACGAGUGGCGGACGGGUGAGUUAUGUCUGGGAAACUGCCUGAUGGAUGGGGAUAACUACUGGAAACUGUAGCUAAUACCGCAUCCCAUCGGAUGUGCCCAGAUGGGAUUAGCUAGUAGGUGGGGUAAAGGCUCACCUAGGCGACGAUCCCUAGCGGGUCUGAGAGGAUGACCAGCCACACGGGAACUGAGAAACGGUCCAGACUCCUACGGGAGGCAGCAGUGGGGAAUAUUGCACAAUGGGCGAAAGCCUGAUGCAGCCAUGCCGCGUGUAUGAAGAAGGCCUUAGGGUUGUAAAGUACUUUCAGCGGGGAGGCGUUACCCGCAGAAGAAGCACCGGCUAACUCCGUGCCAGCAGCCGCGGUAAUUC
rnacentral:rRNA from 1 species